rnacentral:misc_RNA from 1 species
UGGUUCUCGCAUCGAUGAAGAACGCAGCGAAAUGCGAUAAGUAAUGUGAAUUGCAGAAUUCAGUGAAUCAUCGAAUCUUUGAACGCACCUUGCGCCCCUUGGUAUUCCGAGGAGCAUGCCCGUUUGAGUGUCUUGAUAUCAUCGAGCCCCGAGCCCCUUGCGGUCCCGGUGCGCUUGGACUUAGACGUGGUGCCGGGCGGCAACGCCCGGCUCGUCUGAAAUUCAUUAGCGAGAAGCGUGAGCUAUGGCCGGCUCUCAUCGGUGUGAUAGCCUCACCCCAUCGAGAGGCCCCCCGGACCUGCGAUCGUCACACCGCUCCCAGUCGUCCUUUGGACAACAGCGACCCUGCCUUUGUGGCGGUUCGACAUCUGACCUCAAAUCGGGUAGGACUACCCGCUGA